GUCUAUGGCCAUGCCACCCUGAACAAGCCUGAUCCCGUCUGAUCUCGAAGGCUAAGCAAGGUUGGGCCUGGUUGGUGCUUGGAUGGGAGACCACCUAGGAAAACCAGGUGCUGUAGGCG
rnacentral:rRNA from 1 species